UACGUAGGCAGCAAGCGUUGUUCGGAGUUACUGGGCGUAAAGGGUGUGUAGGCGGUUGCUUAAGUUUGGUGUGAAAUCUCCCGGCUUAACUGGGAGGGUGCGCCGUAGACUGUGGGGCUAGAGUGUGGGAGAGGAAAGUGGAAUUCCUGGUGUAGCGGUGAAAUGCGUAGAUAUCAGGAGGAACACCGGUGGUGUAAACGGCUUUCUGGACCAUAACUGACACUGAGGCACGAAAGCGUGGGUAGCAAACAGG
rnacentral:rRNA from 1 species